CCUACGGGAGGCAGCAGUAAGGAAUAUUGGUCAAUGGAGGCAACUCUGAACCAGCCAUGCCGCGUGCAGGAAGAAGGCCCUAUGGGUCGUAAACUGCUUUUGUACCAGAGAAAACCCGAGUACGUGUACUCGGUUGAUAGUAUGGUAAGAAUAAGCAUCGGCUAACUUCGUGCCAGCAGCCGCGGUAAGACGAAGGAUGCAAGCGUUAUCCGGAUUCAUUGGGUUUAAAGGGUGCGUAGGCGGACUGAUAAGUCAGUGGUGAAAUCUCUCGGCUUAACCGAGAAACUGCCAUUGAUACUGUUAGUCUAGAGUAUAGAUGACGUUGGCGGAAUAUGACAUGUAGUGGUGAAAUACUUAGAUAUGUCAUAGAACACCGAUUGCGAAGGCAGCUAACGAAACUAUAACUGACGCUGAGGCACGAAAGUGCGGGGAUCAAACAGGAUUAGAUACCCUGGUAGUCCGCACCGUAAACGAUGAUUACUCGUUGUUGGCAAAUAUGACCGUCAGCGACCGACGACGAAGACGAGUAAGUAAAGUACCACCGUCGGGGUAGGGUACGGUUCCGGCCGACCGGUUACGGUUAAACGUUAAAGUUAAGUUAAGUUAGUACGGGACGUUGAGGACGUUCGCCGACGGACGACGACGAGGGAGGAGGAGG
rnacentral:rRNA from 1 species